GAUGAACGCUGGCGGCGUGCCUAAUACAUGCAAGUCGAGCGAACGGACGAGAAGCUUUCUUCUCUGAUGUUAUCGGCGGACGGGUGAUUAACACGUGGAUAACCUACCUAUAAGACUGGGAUAACUUCGGGAAACCGGAGCUAAUACCGGAUAAUAUUUUGAACCGCAUUGUUCAAAAGUAAAAUACGGUCUUUCUUUCACUUAUAGAUGAAUCCGCGCUGCAUUAGCUAGUUGGUAAGGUCACGGCUUACCAAGGCAACGAUGCAUAGCCGACCUGAGAGGGUGAUCGGCCACCCUGGAACUGAGACACGGUCCAGACACCUACGGGAGGCAGCAGUAGGGAAUCUUACGCAAUGGACGAAAGCCUGACGGAGCAACGCCGCGUGAGUGAUGAAGGUCUUAGGAUCGUAAAACUCUGUUAUUAGGGAAGAACAUAUGUGUAAGUAACUGUGAACAUAUUGACGGUACCUAAUCAGAAAGCCACGGCUAACUACGUG
rnacentral:rRNA from 1 species